rnacentral:lncRNA from 1 species
GAGUCUCGCUCUGUCACCCAGGCUGGAGUGCAGUGGCGCUAUCUCGGCUCACUGCAAGCUCCACCUCCUGAGUUCACGCCAUUCUCCUGCCUCAGCCUCCCGAGUAGCUAGGACUGCUGAUCUCUGUAAGUCUUUAGAUUCCUGCAAAGUUCUGUGAUGGGUAUCUGAGAAUUCAGACAGCUUCUAGUUCAAGAAAUAUACCUGCAAAACAUUGAAGCAAUGAAUAAGAGUUCCUGUUUCUCCACAUCCUUGCCAGCAUUUGAUGUUGUCAGUGUUCUGGAUUUCAGCCACUCUAACAGAAGCCACUGGCAGAAACAAGGAGAGAAGAAAGGCGUAACGAAUCAGUGAUGGAACAGGAAGGAAUCAACUGAGGGAAGCAAAGGGCUGCUGAGUCACAAGCAUGACAGGCAACUAGAAUCAGCCCGGGCUCCCCAGAGCUGCUGCUCAUCCUGAACACUGCGGGCUUGCUCAGAAUUUCCUGGCUGUCCUUUCAGACUUCGUGUGCAUCGUGACAAUACACCACUCUCACCUAACGGAAUCUAAGGAUGUCGCUACCCUGAAAUAGCCAAAUAUUCCAGUUGAAUCUAUUUGUUAAAGCUUAGUCAACCAGAUUUGUUUCUAAGGAGACACUGACAAUAAAAAUAAAAAUGAAAAACAGAAAAACAUUAUUUUCCCUGCAUAAAAG